UGAGAAUUUACCAGCACAUGUGUACAGCAUUCAACUUAUACUGACAACAUCAUAGUGGCACAGUAAGACAAAUGCUCCUGGGAAAGUUUACAUGGCAGUCACAAAGGAGACAUGCUGUUCACACUUUUUGAUCUGGCAAGAAACUCUCCAAGAGCAUAAUACAAAGGAAACACAGCAUCAUACAAAGAUUCAAGAAUAAUUAAAUGCUUUGAUUUGAAGUCAAUGGAGCUAUGCCAAUUUACACCAGCUGAGGAUCCGACCCAUUAAGCUUAUAUUAUUUUAUAAAAUUCCUGCUAUAUUUCAACUGUCUGAGAUCUACUCAGUAAUAUACUGCUAUAAGGAUAGUAAAGACACACAGGCAGUCUAGGGAUCAGCAUUUCUCACUGAAGCAAAGAAAGGAAACUUCCCACAUUUUAGCUCUUUCAUUAUGCAAACAUAAAUCCACAAGAAGAAGCUACAGCAUCUUCAUUCUGUUUAUAAUUAAUAUUGUACCUCAAGCAGUCACCUGUGGAAAAGAGAGGUAUGAAAGGAUUUCAGCUUACUUUGAUAUUUAAGGUAUUUAGUGUCCUUUAAACAUAAAGUUUAAACAGGAGGAAAUCCAUAAUCUGCAAGAAUGUUCUUAGUUCAACAAAGUCUUUGAGUUGACAGCUAAUAAUUAAUUAACAAUGAACGGUGUCUUUCAGCCUGGCAUGAUGAUUGGCACUAUCAUCUUCUGAAAAGUGAGAGAUUUGUUAAGGUGGCAGACUACCAUCAGGGAAACAUUAAAGCUUCACAAUUCCCACUCCUUUCAGCUAAAUGCUUGACGUGACAGGUUAGAAUCACUUGAAAAAGAAGAGGAGGUGAAGAGAACAGCAGCAACAUCUGCUGGUAAAAGCAUUGUCUCCCAACACAAUCAGUCAUUUCACAACAAAAGAAAGACAGAUGUUAGGUUUAAUGGGCAGGAUUCUCCUCUCCCACUGGUAGAUCUGUCAGGUGAGGGAUUCCCUGGGUCUGUAGAGAGGCUCCAAGUCCUAUCCAUACACCUCUGCACAGAGACCACUCCUCCCGGGGAACUGAGUUAAUUCUGGGUGUUUGCCUGGCACUCCCCCGCCCCAGCCAAUCAAGUUUGUGCAGAGUAGUGGGGGAUGGAGAAAGGAAAGAAGCUCUCUUGCCAGCUCCUCACACCCACCACCAUAUAAACACGCCUGUCCCCAGGUAGCAGACACAUCCCUUGGCUUGCUCACCCUCAGUGUCACUGGAUCAGUCGAGUAGUAGGCCCUCAUAUUUGGCCUUUGGGAACAUCGGGGUGCUCCUGCCUCAUUGCUCUGUUCUCCCCUCUGCCCCAGGUUCAGGCUCGGGUGCCUCCUCCCUGCCCGGUUCUUCCCCUACCUCAGGGCCAGUCUCAGAUGUCUCCUCCCUGGGUGCCCUGGCCUCUACACCCUGCUCUUCCCCUGCCUUGGGGCCAGGACAAGGGCCGGGUGCUUCUGGUAGGGACAGAGCUCUCUCUACAGCUCCGCGUAUACCUGCAUUGACUUCGGUGGAGUUAAUCCUGGUGUACGUUGGUGCCAUCGCCCCGCAAGUGUAACACAACUAACUUCCUUACAGUUAUGAGUUAAAUGGAUAUCUCUGAUCACACCAUAUUCGUUGAUUUUUUUACACAGAAUGCCAUGCUUACAGAGCGCACAGAGUCCUGAUUAAGCAACUGGAAGACUUAGGGUAGGUCUGCACUGCUGCCACGCUGUGUGAUGGCAGCUCAUCCAGACGUACCCGGGCUCGCUUUAAUCUAACGAGCAGGGAAGCCACAACAGUGGGUUUCAGUGCAGGCUAGCUACCUGGGUGAUGAGCCAGGGGCCUGGGUGGGCCAGAAGCCCAGGCUGCCACAGCUUCACUGAUCUGGUAUCCCAACUAGCUAGAUUACAGUAAGCUCGCUGCAUGCACAAGAGCUGCAAUCAUACCCCACAGAUAUACCCAUAGCAAAAUAUGGCCUGCAACCAGAGUAAAUGAAAUACCCAAUCUCCUCGUCACUUCUACUGAGCACCCCGACAGAGUUAAGUGACAAUAGCUGCAGUGUUUGCAGAGAUACAGAGAGCUCUUCUUCAGAUCAGAAGCUUGUCUCUUUCACCACCAAGAAGCUGGCCCAAUAAAAGACAUUACCUCACCCACCUGGUCUCUCAAAUAGCUCUGGUGGAAAUUGUUUAAGCUCCUUAAGAAUCCUAUUAUAUUUUCUGUAUCGUAAAAAAAAAAAAAAAAAUGGGUGUGGAAAGGCACGAAUUAGAAGAAGCACAGCGAAAUGUAUGUUUGUUAUCAAGAUGGAAUUUGGAUUCCUCUGUAAUGAGUGUGAUGUAUCAACCGCCGUCUGUUAAUGCUACAUGUAAGCAAAUGGAUGCACAUAGUAUAGCAACUUGACAUCAGUGGGACUAAUGUGAGUACAGACUGCUUAGUAAGGGCCUUAAUUAACAAUUUUACAAAGGACAAUGAGAUGAUAACAAUUAUUCACUGCAAGCAGUCUUUUUUUCCCUCCAAUCCUUGGCCUUUGCAUGAGCUUACAUCCCAGAUAAAUAUUUUAUUCUGUACUGGCAGAAGGUUCAUUAUGUAAGUGACAAAAAGAAAGCAUCAAUUACCAUCAUACAUGGAUACUAAUGUACCUGGCUAAUGUAGUUAUAAUAUGUCAUUGCAAAACAUCUUGUCAGCAUUUUGUAAUUAAAAAAGAAAAGCUAUUGCAAUUGUAAAGACAACGCAUUUAGCAGAGACAAAUCUCACAUGUAAGAUGAUUUUUCAAAGCAAGAACAGACAUUCAUGUAGUAAGUAAAGCCUUGAUAACCUUGCCCUACGUACCUCAAUAACCGUUAUAUACUCUCUUUGGUUCAAUAAAGUGCCCCCUUUUUUCUCUAAAAUAGCACUAUCAGACGCUUACAAAUGACACUGGCCAAUCUGAAGGGUUACAUUUUUCAAGGGACACAAAAAAAAAAAAAAUAAUCCCUCCCUUUCUGUGGGGUCAACAGGAUGUUAUUUAUUUCCUUGAAACAAAGAGUCUUCUAAACUGCUGAGAGAUUUGUCAAAACAGGAUCACAUGCAAUAUAUUAAACAGCCAGAAUGGGAGAGUUUAUUAUUAGC